rnacentral:misc_RNA from 1 species
GAUGAAGAACGUAGCGAAAUGCGAUAAGUAAUGCGAAUUGCAGAAUCCGUGAGUCAUCGAAUCUUUGAACGCACAUUGCGCCCGCCAGUAUUCUGGCGGGCAUGCCUGUUCGAGCGUCAUUUCAACCCUCAAGCCCCCGGGCUUGGUGUUGGGGAUCGGCGUGCCCUCGCGGCGCGCCGUCCCCUAAAUCUAGUGGCGGUCUCGCUGUAGCUUCCUCUGCGUAGUAGCAACACUCGCACUGGAUCGCAGCGCGGCCACGCCGUUAAACCCCCCACUUCUGAAAGUUUGACCUCGGAUCAGGUAGGAAUACCCGCUGAACUUAAGCAUAUCAAUAAGCGGAGGA